GAUGCAAGAACUGUGCGGACCAGACCUGGCAGCCUUGCUCAGUUCAGCAUAGCGGAGAAGAUCGGAGCGGAUCGCAGCGGAUCGGAGCACACCUGAGCACACUGGAGCAGGCUCAUCGAGAGGGUGCUGCGAGACCAUGGAGAACGGAUACACAUAUGAAGACUAUAAGAACACUGCAGAAUGGCUUCUGUCUCACACUAAGCACCGACCUCAAGUUGCAAUAAUCUGUGGUUCUGGAUUAGGAGGUCUGACUGAUAAAUUAACUCAGGCCCAGAUCUUUGACUACAGUGAAAUCCCCAACUUUCCCCGAAGUACAGUGCCAGGUCAUGUUGGCCAACUGGUGUUUGGGUUCCUGAAUGGCAGAGCCUGUGUGAUAAUGCAGGGCAGGUUCCAUAUGUAUGAAGGGUACUCACUCUGGAAGGUGACAUUCCCAGUGAGGGUUUUCCACCUUCUGGGUGUGGACACCUUGGUGGUCACCAAUGCAGCAGGAGGGCUGAACCCCAAGUUUGAGGUUGGAGAUAUCAUGCUGAUCCGUGACCAUAUCAACCUACCUGGUUUCAGUGGUCAGAACCCUCUCAGAGGGCCCAAUGAUGAAAGGUUUGGAGUUCGUUUCCCUGCCAUGUCUGAUGCCUAUGACCGGACUAUGAGGCAGAGGGCUCUCAGUAUGUGGAAACAAAUGGGGGAGCAAAGUGAGCUACAGGAAGGCACCUAUGUGAUGCUGGCAGGCCCCAGCUUUGAGACUGUGCCAGAAUCUCGUCUGCUGCAGAAGCUGGAAGCAGAUGCUGUUGGCAUGAGUACAGUACCAGAAGUUAUCCUUGCACGGCACUGUGGACUUCAAGUCUUCGGCUUCUCACUCAUCACCAACAAGGUCAUCAUGGAUUAUGAAAGCCUGGAGAAGGCCAACCACGAAGAAGUAUUAGCAGCUGGCAAACAAGCUGCACAGAAAUUGGAACAGUUGGUCUCCAUUCUUAUGGCCAGCAUUCCACUCCCUGACAAAGCCAGUUGACCUGCCCUGGAGUGGUCUGGCAUCUCUCACGCAAGAUCCAAGUAGCUGCUACCUUCUUUGACCCCUUGCUGGAGUCACGUGCCUCUGUCCUUAGGUUGUAGCAGAAAGGAAAAGAUUUCUAUUCUUCACCUUUCCCACUUUCUUCCAGUAGACCCUUCUAGUGCCAGAUCCUCUUCUCACAGCUGGGAUCACAGGUGUGAGCAUAGUAAGACGUUGGCGCUACAAAAUAAAGCUGUUCUCAUUUCUGUUCUUUCUUAUACAAGAGCUGGAGCCCAUGCCCUACCACACAUCUGUGGAGGUGCCCAGGAUUUGACUUGGGCCUUAGAACUUUGCACAGCAGCUGCUACUAGCUUUUUGAGAUAAUACAUUCCUAGGGGCUCUGUUCUGCCUUAUCUAAAUCACCAGAGACCAAACAAGGACUAACCCAAUACCUCUUGGACUUUAUUUAAUGUCAUAAUGUUGUCAGAAUAAAGAGAAAGAUGAAAAAAAAAAAA